rnacentral:rRNA from 1 species
UACGAGGGGUGCAAGCGUUAAUCGGAAUUACUGGGCGUAAAGCGUGCGUAGGUGGUUUGUUAAGCAAGAUGUGAAAGCCCUGGGCUCAACCUGGGAACUGCAUUUUGAACUGGCAAGCUAGAGUUAUUGUGAGAGGUAGUAGUACUUCAGUGUAGCGGUGAAAUGCGUAGAGAUUGGAAGGAACAUCAGUGGCGAAGGCGGCUACCUGGACAAAGACUGACACUGAGGCACGAAAGCGUGGGGAGCAAAC